CUGCAGCUCAAGUGGUGGCCGCUAUUAUUGGGCCUAAAGCGUCCGUAGCCGGUUCGGUAAAUCUCUGGGUAAAUCGUUGGGCUUAACUCAGCGAAUUCUGGGGAGACUGCCGAACUUGGGACCGGGAGAGGUCGGAGGUACUCCAGGGGUAGGGGUGAAAUCCUGUAAUCCUUGGGGGACCACCGGUGGCGAAAGCGUCCGACCAGAACGGGUCCGACGGUAAGGGACGAAGCCCUGGGUCGCGAACCGGAUUAGAUACCCGAGUAGUCC
rnacentral:rRNA from 1 species